CUUCUUCAAAUGAAAUACUAAAAUUCCUCUUCAAUUGAAUGGAAGCAUGUGUUCAUUUGAAACAUUUUAUCCUAUGGAAGUCGAUGUAAGCAUGAAAUGAUGUUACUAAAAGUUCACUCCGAAUACAAAGGCGUAGCGAACGAAACAUAUACCAGUCAAACGAACGAAAAUGAACUAUAAACUAUACAGUCCUAUGCAAAUUAUUUCACACACACUACUUGGGGUUUGUUCCUACAAUUAUUACGGCCAAAUAGUUUUGGUUGCCAGGUGUUGGACGCUCGUAGGACCAAAGUGCAUCGUAUCGGACUAACAGGAGGACGAGAUGAACUAUUCUAAUGCCAGCUAUCAUGAUAUCACACUAAUGCAGAUUUGUAAAUAUGUUCUUUAUACAUAGCUAUAGAGUUCUAUGCAAAUCAUUUCACUCACACUACUUGGGGGUUUGUUUUCCUCCAGCUGUCAUAUGUAAAACUGUCAGUUAACUCAAACGUUUUAAAUAGCUUGCCUAACGUAUUUAUGAUGGUGCUCUGUGCCACUGUGAAACUUCUGCCGGAGACGUACAAUACCGGUUGGUCGGGAUCCACCCUGCAAAUAAUCCGACCGAAAAGCUCUUUUCGAUUUGUUUUCCUCCAUCUAUCAGAACAUUGUGAUAGGUAGAGGAAAACAAAUCGUGAACACACUAAAGCAUUUACUGAUUGUCAAGUAUUCUAUACAUACCAUGGUAUUGAAUAAAUGGUAGGCAUAUUUUCGAAAGUAAAAGUAAAUCGGAAAAACGUAUUGCUUUUUAGGGGAAUUUAUCGACAAUACUCAUUGUAUUAUUUUAUUUCAUCACAUUUACGGAUUAUUGGCAAUUCUCUAUAACAAUUGCGAAUUAUUUCAUAAUCAUUAAGACAUAUAAAAGUAAUUCUGAUACACCCUAUCCUUUACUAAUACAUCUUGAUGCAACAGAAGCAAUGCACUGUAAAAAAAUCAUAUCAUUCAUUCAAUUAUUUCCACACAUGAUGAAGCGCAAAUAUCAACAAAAUGAUUCUAAAACACUUCUACAAAAUCCCCAAAAUUUUUGUCAAACCCUAAUGUUUUAUCACAUAAACAUAGUAGCACAGUGAUUUCUAUUAGUUUCCUUUUGAAUUUAAUUCCAUUGAAAUUUCUGAGAUUUACCUUGCACUUUGCACCAGUAUUUUGUAACAGUGCGUUCGACUAGAGCAUUAUAUGUAAACAAAAGUAUAGCUCAAAAUGUAGAAUGUGUGGUGUGAAACAAAGUCCAAUGGUUUAAACUCUAUAACGACUUGUACAUUGCUAAAAUGGGAGAAUCAAGUGCAAAAGAACUUACGCUAUGGAGAAGUGUGUCAGUUUGCAGUUCAAAAAUUUAGAUUUCUACUUGGUGUGUAUAAUGAUCCGUCCGUCCGGGAGGUGGUCCAGUAAGGGCAGUCAGGAACUCCAGAUACUUGAAAAACACCCGCAGUUUACUGGAUUGUUCCGAUAAUGCUUUGGGAUAAAAUAGACUGACAUGUCAGGCUGAUUUGUUGGAAUGUGCGACGUGUAUUGCAUUGAAGGAGCUCAAACUUGACAAACGGUUCUGAAUCACUGGUGGAAUGAUGAUAGCAAAGUCGUUGGAUUUGAGGCUUGUUACAGCAGGUCGUGGGCGACUCUUGUCGCGUUGUGUAUUAUUUGUGAUCAUUGAUCAUCAUCAUUGCAGUAUUGAAGUUUCGCAAAAUUGAGUGCUGAAGCUCUUGCAAGUAAUAUUUCCAAUUUGCAGAGCCCAAACAAAAUACAUUUAAAAUUAAAUCAUAAA